ensembl:lncRNA
CCAUCCUACAGGACGGAGAAGAAUAACAACAGCACGAUUCUGUCACAAUCCGGAAUGAGCCUGAUAUUACUCGUCACCAUCUCGACACAAGGAUGGCGUUUAUUUCCUGUUGCUCUCCAACGUCUCACCGGCUGUUAAUCCUCCAGGGGACGCGAGUUUCUACUAAACAACAAACAGCGACUAACCCGGGCAUUUCUCCCCUGAGGAUAAGAGUAGACAACCUGCUCUUGUACUCUGUAUGCUGUGAUGAAAGACUAAAAAUGUCCCUCGUGCUAGUGGACAAGAGAGGGAAAGGAAAGAAACUGGAAAUACAUGAUGAAUGAAUGUGUAUGUUACCGUACAGGAUCUGGCAGCACAUCCCUGAAGGAAGCGCUGAGAAGAGACUGUAUCUGAGGUGGUGAAAAUCUUUGACAAUUCUCCUGGCUCUGGUCCUGCAUCACUGGAUGUAGAUGUUUGUGAUGCAGUAGAGAGAAGUCCUUCUCCACUGCCUCACCACUCUGGAAAGGGCCUUUUAUUCCUGGGCUGUAGUGCCUCUGAACCAGGCUUCCUGUGUACUCUCCACAGCCCAGUGUAGAAGGCCCUCAACACCCUGUUGGAGUCUGAAUCAUGGCCACAUAAGGUGCACAAUUUAUACACCCAGUGAUGAUAUAAGGUGUUUUAAAGGUAAUUAUUGUUAGUGUUCACGCCUUUGUUGUAUAAUGCCUCACAAGACCUAGACUGGCUAGUUCUUCAACCCUCGCGAACGUCACCAAGAACAGGACGUCCCUCCAUAACUUAUAAAAGGACAAGACAAAAACUUACCAGGGAGGCUGCCAAGAGACCAAUGGCAACAUUAAAAGUAGCUGCAGGAAGUACUGAUUCCUCUCUGUAUCUGACAACAAUCUCUAAUAUUUUUCACAGGCCUGGGCUGUGGAGUAGGGUGGCAAGAUGGAAACACUCACAAAAAACAUCCAAGCCCAAAUAAGUCACCCGAAACCAUGUAGCAAAAAUGUAAUGUUCUGAUGUGACCAAUUCAGAAAGGGAUAAUUAUUAAAUAUAAUACAUAAUCAUGAAUAGCUACCAUACCAGUCAAGUUUAGUGAAAACCUUCAGGUGUCUGCUAGUAAACUGAAGAUGAAAAGGAAUUUCACCUUUCAGCAUGACAGUGACCCAAAACAUACACCCAAAUCAACAAAGGAAUGACUUCACCAAAAGAACACCAAUGUUUUUGAAUGACCUAGCCAGAGCCCAGACCUGAGUCUUUGGGGUGAUUCUGUGCUGAAUCUGUAUAUAGGAGAUGCCCUUGAAAUUUAAAGGAUCUAGAAUGUUUUGCAAGGAAGAACGGGAAAAUAUUGCCAUGUCAAGAUGUGCCACGCUGAUGGACUCUUACCCAAAAAGAAUGAGUGGUGUAAAAACAUCAAAAGGUGCUUCAACAAAGUAUUAGUUUAGGGGUGUGUACACUUAUGCAACUAUUGGUUUUUUAUCAUUCCUUUUACUCCAAAAAGUUUCAUUUAGUUACUAUUAUUACUACUACUAAUGAUGAUGAUGAUGAUGAUGAUGAUUAAUAUUAAUAUUAUUAUAUUUAUACAGGUGUGGGGAUAUGAUUUCCGACAGAGACUUUACCACUUCAGGCUGGAUAAGGGCGUCUUUCUCCAGAUCCAUAAAAAAUUUAAUCACCAGAAGAAAACAAUACUUUAAAUUAUGAGAUUCCUUACAAUGAACUCUGUACUUCUCUCAGUAAUGACUAAUUUGACACGCAUGACCCCCCCCCCCCCCCCCCCCAAACACACAACACGAGAAUCAAAUGAAUUUCCUCUCCCAAAGCUCUGUGAGUUAUAGACAGAAAGACCGAAGCCCUUGAAAGGAGGACUUUUCAAUUUGUAAGUCUCUCAGCCACAAGGUCGCCUCGGUUUAUGGGUAAAGUUAUAGAAGAAUGCAAGGAGAAAACCAAACUAGUUACUAUAGUAACAGCAGGACUCAUAACACAACAGGGAACUAGAGGAAUUCAGGAAAAUUUCAGGAAAAAUCUUGGUUUUGUUUUAACUUCAUUUCUAUGUGUAUGAAACCAACUGCUUUACAUGUUUUAAGAUCUUCAAGGUUGCUGCUGUUCAUGUUCACCAGUUUUUUAUUCUCAUGACCUCAUGACAACCUGGCUGACAUGUCUGAGUGUGUCGGAGCAAGGGAAGGGCUAUAGACCUACAGUGAAAACAUGUCUGAGUCUGACCACUGCUAUAUGCAUUGUACCUGGUCUCUGAUAGCCCAUAUUAUGCAACACGUUAUAUGUACAAUGAAUCUGUUAUGAGGUAGAAUAAGUACUGGGCCUCGUGUACACUUUCCUGUUAUUCCAGAGUAGUAAUUACAUACAGUAAGUUCCUAAUGUAGGUAGAAGUGUUAUAAACCACUACACAUUUUCACUAGGCAAACAAAUCACUAAUACAUAAAUAUAAAGGAGCAGGAGGCAGAGCCACAGUAUAUAAAGCUUAUACAAUCCCCUCCAAAAAUAUUCAAACAGAAAGGCCAAUUCUUUCAUUUUUUGCAAUACACUGAAGAGAACUCAAAAAUAAAUAUGAUACAAUCAGAUUUUCAGUUUUACAUCUAGAUGUAUUAAACAAUUGGCACCCUGUCCAGGGUGUACCCCGCCUUGUGCCCGAUGCUCCCUGGGAUAGCCUCCAGGUUCCCCCGUGACCCUGAAAAGGAUAAAGCCGUAUAGAAGAUGGAUGGAUGUAUUAAACAACUUUGAACAUAGCCCCUUUGGUGUCAGAAACCCCAAAUUUUUAGUGAGCAAAAAUAUUGGAACUUAAAGUCUUAAAGUAUAUUAAAAUAAAGUAAAUAACACUUAAUAUUUGGUUGCAUAUUUCUUGCUUGCAGUAACUGUACCAAGCUCAAGCCGGUGACCCAUUAUCACCAAACUGUUUUUGUUUACUGAUGCUCUGAAAUGCAUGCGCGAUUGCUUUAAGAUCGGGUGAUUUUCCCCUGAUGAAGUCCUUUGUUGAGUUUGCAGUGUGUUUUGAGUCAUUGUAUUGCUGCAUGAUGAAUUUCUUCCUUCUUAGAUUGGAUGCACUUCUCUGUAAAUUGGCAUACAGGAUGUUUCUGUAGACUUCUGAAUUAAUUCUGCUGUUAGCAUCAUGAGUUCCAUCAUCAAUAAAGAUUAGUGAGCCCAUUCCAGAAGCAGGCAUGCACGCCCAAGCCAUGACACUACCUCCACCAUGCCUGAGCAAGAUAAGCAGAUCCUGUCUUUCUCCACACUUUGGCAUUUCCAUCGCUUUAGUAGAGGUUAUUCUUGGUUCCAGAACUUUUGUGGCUCAUCUCUGUAUUUCUUUGUGAAUUUCAAUCUGGCCUUUUGAUUCUUACUGCUGAUGUUUGAAUUGUGUGGUAUGACCUCUAUGUUUCUUCACUUGAAUUCUUCUUUGAACGGUGGAUUGUGAUACCUGCCCUGUGGAGGUUGUUCGUGUUGGUAGGCAGAGGUGACAAAAUGGUUCCAGCUCCAGGUUACUGAUCAGAAAGUUGGUGGUUCAAGCACUGUCACUGCCAAGCUGCCCAUUUAGGCCCUUAAUCCUAUCUGCUCCAGGGGUGCUCUAUCAUAGCUGACCAUGCCACCUCACCCUAACUUACUAACAAGCUGAGAUAUGCACUGUGUUUUAAUGUAUACAGCAUG